UUUUCUUUGAUGUAGUCUCCAGUCUCUAGGACCAGAGAGAUGCAAGAAUCAACAGAGAGGGAGUGUUGGAAAGGGAGGAGGACAAUGGCGUCGGAUUUCAAAUUUUAUGUAAAGGCCUUAAUUCUAUAUUGAUGUGACUUCUAGCUUCCAUGAAACUUAAAUACAGACCUUAUGAUGUUUGACAUUGGAUAAGAAAAUUCUCCACCUGGAUAAGCUGUUUCUGGAAAGCACUGGUGCAGCCUCUGUCAGAUCUCGUCAACCUACACGGUCUGCUCCGCCAACAGCUAAUAGCGAAAUGACUGCGAGGAAGCCAGUGACAGCGGUAGCUGUCGGCAUUUAUUUUACCUUUGGUUUCUGCUGCACGGAAAAUUCCAGCACUGAUGAGGUCUGAGCUGUGGGGGAGACACGGGGAAGUAAGUGUGCACUGGGUUUGAAGAAGGUGGCACUCUCAAAGCUGCCCUUUCUCCUACAGUAACAUGACACUUGGGCUGAGUAGUCUCCAGCAGUGUUAAUGCCUCCUUUGGACGUUUGUCCAUGAAGAUCGCAGGCUUGACAGGAAGCAUCCAGGGUUGUGUACUGUCACCAAGGCUCGAGGAC
rnacentral:lncRNA from 1 species